GACGAGGGGGCCAGCGUUGUUCGGAAUUACUGGGUGUAAAGGGUUCGUAGGCGGUGCGGCAAGUUUGGGAGUGAAAUCUCUGGGCUUAACCCAGAGGCUGCUUCCGAAACUGCUGUGCUUGAGUGUGGGAGAGGCGCGUGGAAUUGCAGGUGUAGCGGUGAAAUGCGUAGAUAUCUGCAGGAACACCCGUGGCGAAAGCGGCGCGCUGGACCACUACUGACGCUGAGGAACGAAAGCUAGGGGAGCAAACAGG
rnacentral:rRNA from 1 species